rnacentral:rRNA from 1 species
UACGAAGGGUGCAGGCGUUAAUCGGAAUUACUGGGCGUAAAGCGUGCGCAGGCGGUUUGCUAAGAGAGAUGUGAAAUCCCCGGGCUUAACCUGGGAACUGCGUUUCUAACUGGCAGGCUUGAGUGUGGCAGAGGGGGGUGGAAUUCCACGUGUAGCAGUGAAAUGCGUAGAGAUGUGGAGGAACACCGAUGGCGAAGGCAGCCCCCUGGGCUAACACUGACGCUCAUGCACGAAAGCGUGGGGAGCAAACAGG